AUGAAGGCGGGAGGCCCGCGGUGUAGAGCCCGUCAGCCCCGGAGCCGCGUCCCGCACCCGGACAUGCCGGACACAAUUUCCUGACUCCAAGGUAGCAAGCUGGUGUUCAAACAAAGUAUGAUAGCCGUGCCUAUCUGAAGAGCGAGACCUCACAGACAUUGACGUGUCUUUCAUGAAACGCUGUUAUUAGGGGAAUGAAGAAUGAAAAGGAUGUAUGUCUGGAUGGUCACGGUGACCCCACUUGUGACCUACCUCACCAAACUGAAAGCAAAUCAGUGUGCACAGUCCCCAUUGCAAGCCCUGAGCUGACUGGAGGGUGGAAGGAGAACUGAUCAAGAUGAGGAACUCACUUUUAUCUUCUUGCUUUCUGGGCUUGUACUUUAAAAAAUGAGACAUACAGACAUCUCUUUUGCUUCUCUAAACCUUCCUUGCCCCUUCUGGUCUGUUUCCCUGCACUAAGAUGGCCAGUAUGGUCGCCUUCUUCUCCACCUUAGCCUAUAUUAGCUCUACAGAUAGUAAAGAUUCAGGCAGCAUAUGGGACACAUGAUACAGCCUAAUAUGUCAGUAAGUAGUGAAAAUAAAUUUCUCCUUCCACCUAUUCGUAGUCUGGAAGCUGCGCUGUUUUCCCCCUGGUGGAAGUAAAGCCAUCUUCAUUCUUAGCACAUGGGAAUAAGGAUUCUCCCUGGUUUUAAGGAUCAUGAUGGUGUUUGUGUUUGGAUGGGUGGGGAAAGGGAAAGAAAAAUUGUUUUUCCAGGUACUUGAGAAUUUGGAAGAGAUAUUAAUAUCUGCAUAAAUAUUUAUGUACAGAGAUGUUUAUCAUUAUGUUACUGACAAGAUUUAGAAAAUUGUAAACAAUAGAAAUACUGAAAAAUGUUUAAAAAAAAAAUCAAACCCACUGCCAUCGAGUGAAUUCUGCAUCAUAGCCGCCCUAUAAGACAGAGUAGAAAUGUCCCAUAGGGUUUCCAAGGCUGUAAAAUCUCUAUGGAAGCAGACAGCCACAUCUUUGUCCUGCAGAGCACCUGGUGGGUUCAUAUCUCAAAUCACUAACCUUUUAUUUGGCAGCUGAGCAUGUUAAGCACUGUGCCACCAGGGCUGUAUGUUAAAAAUAGUUAACAUCUAAUUAGUUGGAUUGUGAGCAUUUCUUCUAAUAUGUGUUUUUAAUGAAUUCCUUAUAAUUAAUAUGGAAUUAAUAUGGGUGAUUAUUUUUGGAAUCUCUAAAAUUAAUUUUAUUUCUUUAAGUAGUAAAGCCACUGAAUAAAGUCAAAUAUUUUUAAAAAUCAGCUUUAUCCAUUUAUUUGUUAGCAAAUAUGAUGUUACUCCCUUGCUGUAAAAUCUUUCACUGACUUCCUAUUAACUUUAAAGUCUAAAUUCUAAUAUAUAUACAAUGAUUUUUAUAAUCUGAUCGUAUCUAAAUGGCAACCUCACUUUCUAUCUAGUUUUCCUUUCCUCCUUGCACUCUCAGAUUACCAAUUUAUUUGUUAUUCCUCCAGAACAGAAUCUAUCACAUGUUAGUGUCUUUGGAUAUGCUGCCCCCACCCUCUGGAACGCAAUUCACUCUAUUUUCAUCUGUCAAAAUUCCUCUGCAGAAAGCCUGUCUGCCCUGAUUCCCACAAGAUACACAGGCUGUGUUUCUUCUGUGCUCUAAUUGUAGAUGGUGAAUACCAUGCUAUUACUCCUGGAACAGUGCUUUCUGAGCUCCCUGAGGGUCAAAGGUGUGCUUCGGAUUUCUGUAUGUUACUCUUCACAACGUGUGCUGGGUUCACAGAAGGAACUCAAUAAUUGGAGGAAGAGGAAUUACACAUUAUCAAAGAGUGGGAGAGGUAGACAUAAUUCAGUAUAUUUCAAAUUUUUCAAAUGAUAGUAUAAAAAUUACACAUAGAUCAAAAUUGAAUACAAAAAAUCAACAUAUCAAUAUAAUAAUGUCAAGCAUAAAAUGAUAUACAAUAUAGCUCACGUGAGAUAAAACUAAGAGUAAACACACACAGAUGCUCGAGUUCACUAUUAGUUUCUUUUUUUUCUUAUAUUUUUUUUUUAAACAGUGGAUGCUAUGGUACCAUUUUACAUUUAUUCCAUUAGAAAAAUAAUAUUAAACAAUCAAAAUACAUAUUAACAAGGCUGCAGAAAUCCUGCAACAUUCAUAAAUCAUGGAAGCAUUUCUUUAUUCAUGCAUCCAUUCAAUCUGCAUUUAUUAUCUAUUCUGUGUUAUGCGUAGUGACAGGAACUGGGGAUACAAAUUGAAUAAGAUAUUGGCCAUGCCCUCAAGGAGAUUAUUGCAAUGAUACAUGAACAGACAGAUUUUAGGAGAUAACUCAAGAGUGAUAUUUAUGUCAAAAUAGGGGCUACAUCAGGAAAAAAAUUCCAAUGAGGAGAGAAACCUUAAAUUAACAUUUAAACCAAGAAUAAGGGAGGGAAAAAGUGAGCAAGGUUAAUGAAAGCACAAAGUAAUAAAGUGGGAUGACUCACUCGAGGGCUUAAAUAUUGGUGCAUCAUUUAGAAAAGUAAAUUUAAAAAAGAAUAAUAAAUAUGUUCAUACACUUUGACUCAAUGAGUUUUGUGCUGGAAAAUUAUGAUUCUAAAACAUUCCAAAGGACAAAAUAUAAUGCCAAUUCAUUUCUAAAGCUAAAGGAAAAGGAAAUAGCUUAAAAGUCCAGAAUUGGGUAACUUAUUAGGUUUUUUUUUUUGUUGUUGUUAGCAUAUUGAUUUACCACAUUAUUAUAUGGUUCUCAAUAUUAUUGGCUGUUAAAAUUUUAUAGCAGCAUGGGAAAAGUUUAUAAAAUGAGGUAGGGGAACUAUGAAAUGCUACAUUUAUGUUACCAGGUUGUGAAUACUGUUCGUUAUUUUUUUCUAGAAGACUUACAGCCUCACUUUUUAUAAAAUGCUUAGACCUAUGAUCCAUUUCAAAUUAAUUUAUGUUUAGCAUAUGGGAUAAAAUUUGAGGUUAACUUUGUUUCCAUAUGGGUUUUGUGUUGUUCCAGCAAAAUUUGUUGAAGAGUUUUCUUUUCCUACUGAACUGCUGUGAGGUUUUGGUGAAAAAUCAAUUGACUAUAGAUGAAUGGCCCUCUCUUGGACCUUCUGUUCUAUUUCACUGACCUAGUUGUCUAUCCUUAUGCCACGUCCACACUGCAUGGUGUAUGGCUGCUUUAUAGAGAAUCUUCUACUUUUGUUAAAUUUACCUAUUUGACUGUGUAGUUGCUUUGUACAUGCCUUAAAAGUUUCUUUGCAGAGAAUCAUGUCAUCUACAAAAGCAAAGUUUUACAUAUUCCUUUCCAAUUUUAUACACCUCCCCUUUUUAUUGCCCUACUACACUUGCAGGAGCCCUGGUGGCACAGUGGUUAAUGGCUAAGCUGCUAACCGAAAGGUCAGCGGUUCGAAUCCAUCAGCCACACCAUGGGAGUAAGAUGAUGCAGGCUGCUCCUAUAGAAAUGUACAGCCUUGGACAUGCUAUGGAGCAGUUCUACUCUGUCCUGUAGGGUCGAUAUGAGUCAGAAUCGACUCCAUGGCAACUGGAAAUGGGGCUGCAUUUGCAAGGCUCUCUGGUACAAUUUUGAAUAAGGUGAGCAAUAGAAAAAAGAAAACAUUAAUCUUAAGGGAACAUCAUUCAAUAUUUUGCCAUAAAAAAUUAUGCUAUUUUCCUGCCUCUAUUGAGAUGAUCACUUGUUUUUCUCUCCUUAUUCUCUUUAAAUGUUGAUUUAUUAAUUUUCAAAUGUUAACCAAACUGUGUUAGUGAGAUAAACCCCACUUUGUCAUGUUGUAUUGCUCUUUGUGUAUAUUAUAGGAUUCUAGUUGCUAAUAUUUUGUUUUAAAGAUGCAGUUUCUUAAUUUUUAUUUCUUGUGAUAUCUUUGUCAGGUUUUAGGAUCAGAUUUAUACUCCUCUCAUAAAAAGACUUGCUAUGUAUUCCUUCCUACUCUAUUUUGUAAAAGAGUGUUUAUAUUUGUCUCUAUUUUUUCUUAAAAUUUUUAUAAAACCAUCUGGACCUUGAGUUUCCUUUACAGCAAGUUUUUGACUACAUAUUCAAUUUAUUUUAUGGUCCAAGAGCUAACAUGAUUUUCUCUUUCAACUUGUGUCAGUUUUAGAAAUGUAUGCUUUUUAAGGAAUUUGUAUGUUUUAUCUAAAAUGUUGAAUUUAUUGGAAAAGAAAAGUUACACUUUAUAUAAGUUAAACAUUUCUGCUCAUUAAAAACACCUUUAAAAGGAUCUGGUUCUGGUUAAGAUGGAAAAAGUGCU